CUGCAACUCGCCUGCAUGAAGUCGGAAUUGCUAGUAAUCGCAGAUCAGCAUGCUGUGGUGAAUACGUUCCCGGGCCUUGUACACACCGCCCGUCACACCAUGGGAGUCGGUAACACCCAAAGUUGGUAGUCUAACCGCAAGGAGGACGCCGCCUAAGGUGGGAUUGAUGACUGGGGUGAAGUCGUAACAAGGUACC
rnacentral:rRNA from 1 species